GAAAAACACGAAGGUGGCAGCCUUUACAGACUUCACGCCCCCCGUUUCUAAUUUACGAGGAAAAUAUUCAAAAGGAAUUUCAUCUGAAGUUUUCGUUACCCGUACAUCAUUUCUUGUGGAUACAAAAAUCUACGCACCGCUAAGAUAAGAAUUGCACUUAGGAAUGUAAGGCCUUGGGGUUCACCUGUUGUUGACAUAACGUGCGGACUUUAUCAAAAGCUUAGCUGAUGCAACAUCAAUUAACGGAGGAUCCAUUAACAUAUUUGUUCGUGUCACUCUUUUUAUCAAAAACGUUUCUAAUCUUCAAGUUGUGUUUGACGUCGCUGUUCCUCGCAAACGCGUCAAAAUAUACAAGGAAAAAAAGAGUGCAGGAUCCGCUUGUGAUACGCUCUCUCUCCCGAUGAUCCACUACCUUUGGCGGUACGGCUGGUCCCAGAAACAUGAUGGAUAUAAAAGGACCAAUGUACAUCUCAUGCACAAAUAUAAAAAAAGAAAAGAGGACGGCGCAAUCAGCCUCCCGAAUGAACAUCAAAAAUGAGUCUAUAGAAGAUUAACCAGGUCACGUUCAUUAUAAAUCAAAGAAAAAGAUGCUGCUGCGGUAAAUCUACGUGAUGGACUACAUAUUUCUCCCCUUCUCGCCGUGUACGUGUGUGUCGACGCUAUAUCCUUCAGCAAUAGAUAAGAAAUGCAUCGAGCGUAACCAACGAUAUAGCCCUUUUUCUUGCUCUACUUUUUUUUUUCCCCUCUUGGAGGUGCUCAGCAUCAGAAUGUUCUCGGGAAAAGAAAAAAAAACGUUCGUGUCAUGCUUGAGCAGGUGGCUCUCCAUCAAAAUAAAGCAUCGACCGAACGACCAAGACAGAAUUGAAGAAAUCCGUUCUAAAUGAUGCCCGACUCGGCUGCUGUGACUGAACGUUGUUCUAUCGGUUUAAGCGUUCGUUUUUCUGAGGGGGGGAAAAACAGUUAUGGCCAAGAGCGAUGGAAGAGAAAAAAAAAAGAGGGUCAUUUAAUCACUGAAAAAAAAAAAGAGAGAGAUAAAAAUGAAGCAGAGUAAGAUGAAAAUCAGCAUCCAAACGGAAUCUUGAUAUCUGAGAAACUUUCGC